UCACUCUUUCUGAUUUCCUUUCUUCAAUUUCUUCUUGCUUUUCCCCUGGGGACCUGCAAAAUUAUAUUUCAGAGGAGUUUGUAUGUUAUAUGCCUGCUCGACAAAAUGUUUCUUUUAUAUUAUGCAAUUAUUAACUAGUUCCAAUGCAAAUCUUACUUGAGGUGUUUGGGUUUUCUUUUUUUUCUUUUUUGCUUCUGCUUUUGCCAUCUUUAUCCUUUCUUGUUCCACCAGCGACAUCAGUCUCUUUGGAUUUUUUGGUCUUCCUUUCUGUUGUAUUUUAUCAGAAUCCAUUAGUACUACUAUCUAUGCACAACAUUCAAGAUUUUCAGUUCCUUCCCUGUUUCCUUGCUGUUGUACUAGAUUUUCUGCUAUUGAUGAUUCUCCAGUAUCGUUUUGUAAAAGCAGCAAGUCAAGGUGUUCAUUGAUCAUGUCAAACUGCUGGUCGAGGUAAUCCAUUGCUUCCUGUUUCUUUGCACCUUUAUUUGUCAAUAUUGCAGUUUUUCUUGAUAGCAUAUUGAACCUUAGCAAUUCAUGCGUAUCACUUGUUUCAGAUCUGAUAGGAUUAUGCAUUUUUUUUUCUUUCUUCCUCCAUCUGUUUAUGAAAUAUUUUCCAGGUAUUUCUCUUAUUUCUUCUUCAACAAUCACCUUUAGUAUGUGAACACACAAUAUUCCAUCUUUAUUGAACUUUCCAUAUAUGCAACUGAAUUCCUCUUUCCCUUGAGUAAGGUCUGUUAGAACUAUAUAUCUCCUGAUUCUUUCCCGCUUCUGAAUUUGAUUGGACUUGUACCAUACCUCAAAGUACUUGCCCUCUUCUAUUUCCUUGUAUUUAUAUUUUUCUGCCAGCUUCAACUGAUUCAUGAAUUUCAGAAAUAUAUUUCUAUUGUACAACUCCAUUGCUUGAUGUUCAAUUGUGUACCCGUAGUACAAUUCUUUUGGUUGCUUUUGUUUGGUUUGAUUAUCCUCUAUUUCUUCCUUGUUUCUGAUUCCAUCAACUAUUCUUUGAUAUUCCCGCAAGAAACUGACAAUGUUGUAUGUAGGACCUACAUUAUCUUUGAAUCUUGUAUUUGUCCCCUCACUUCUACCGGUGCUUUGGAUGAAAGGAAAGAACUCAUUCUUGAAAUAAACUGGAAAGCACACCCAAAAAGGCAUGUAUGCCCGUGACCAAUUAUGCCAACAAACGGUGCGAAAGGAAGAUUAUACUUGUUUGUCAUGGAAGUGCAGUCAGGCCUCCUCUCAAGU